rnacentral:rRNA from 1 species
AUUGAACGCUAGCGGGAUGCUUUACACAUGCAAGUCGAACGAGUGGCGGACGGGUGAGGUAUAAAUCGGAACGUGCCCAGUAGAUGGGGAUAACUACUCGAAAGUGUGGCUAAUAACGCACACUAUUGGCGCGGCCGAUAUCGGAUUAUCGCGUUGGUGGGGUAAAGGCUCCCCAAGGCAACGAUCCGUAGCUGGUUUGAGAGGAUGACCAGCCACACUGGGACUGAGACAAGGCCCAGACUCCUACGCGAGGCAGCAGUGGGGAAUUUUGGACAAUGGGGGAAACCCUGAUCCAGCCAUCCCGCGUGUAUGAGAAGGCCUUCGGGUUGUAAAGUACUUUUGGCAGAGAAGCGGUAUCUGCAGAAUAAGCACCGGCUAACUACGUGCCAGCAGCCGCGGUAAUAC